UAACACAUGCAAGUCGAACGAGGGUUUGGAAAGCUUGCUUUCCGAAACCUAGUGGCGGACGGGUGAGUAACGCGUGAGCAACCUGCCCUUCGGAGGGGGAUAGCGUCUGGAAACGGACGGUAAUACCGCAUAAAGUGUCUUGACCGCAUGAUCGAGAUACCAAAACUGAGGUGCCGAAGGAUGGGCUCGCGUUGGAUUAGAUAGUUGGUGGGGUAACGGCCCACCUAGUCUUCGAUGGAUAGGGGUUCUGAGAGGAAGGUCCCCACAUUGGAACUGAGACACGGUCCAAACUCC
rnacentral:rRNA from 1 species